UACAGAGACUGCAAGCGUUAUUCGGAUUCACUGGGCGUAAAGGGUGCGCAGGCAGCCAAGUGUGUGAGGCGUGAAAGCCCGGGGCUUAACCCCGGAAUUGCACCUCAAACUACUUGGCUAGAGCAUUGGAGAGGGUAGCAGAAUUCAUGGUGUAGCAGUGAAAUGCGUAGAUAUCAUGAGGAAUACCAGAGGCGAAGGCGGCUACCUGGACAAUUGCUGACGCUCAGGCACGAAAGCGUGGGGAGCAAAAGGG
rnacentral:rRNA from 1 species